UUAUUGUUUAUUCUGUUUCUUGUCAUUAUUUUUUUUUCCAUUUUAAACGUCUUCUACUGUAUGCUCUCAAUUUAAUUUUCACGCAUAAACUAAAAAUCGAAGUCCGUCUAGGGCAAAUCGCCCUACUUCAACCUUUUGUACAAAAUACUUAUUAAAAAAAAAAUAUUUAUUUUAAAUUUCACUGUUGUACUUCACAUUGAUAAAGUGAGAUUUACCUCAUCACUAGUGAAUGCUGAUACCAAGAGGCUACUGGGGUUGUUGAUUGAAGAUGUCCGAUUCACAAGAGAUUGCAGUGUUAACAGCAAUACAUCACUUCAAGCCACUGUUCCAAACCCAGUUGAAACAAAUAGAGUUAAUCUGCUUGAAAAAAUUUUACCCAUUCUGACAUCAUUUGUUCAGUUUAUGUGUGUCUCCAUAAGCAAUGUGACUAUAGUAGCCCAGUUGAACAACAAGUUGGUCCAUGCUUCUGUUAACAAUCUGAGUUUAGACGGAAGCAUUUUACCACGCUCACAGAUAUUGCACUCUGUUGUCUGAUAGAUGUGUUUUCAUGUCAACUUCUUCAGACCGUAGCUUCUACUGAAAGCUAUUUUUCUUUGUCAACCAGCAAUCACAAUUUGCCGAAUCACGAACGAAAACUUGGAGCCGUGUUUAGCAGAAUUUUCAGUUGGAGUUCAAACAGAAAUUCUCGUUGACCCAGUUUUACCGGCCAUCACGGUCAUCCAAGAACUAGUUUCGAGUUGAAUUUGCCACGCUGCGCAUUACUAUUCGACGAUCAUUCCAUCAUUGAAGCUGAAGGAUUAAAUUGGAAGCUAGCUGAUAACGAUCUUGAUCUCAAACAAGAAAGAAUCAGUUUCGAUUGCGAGGCUGCCACAAUCCACAAACAAAUGUGGGCUGGUCAGCAUUGUCCAUUUGCGCGUUUGCUUCCCCUACCGUUACCAGUUUUCCGAAGCCUGCCAACAGGAGAUGGUGAGUGGCUAAAAUCGCUGCACAAAAAGCCUCGGCUUCCUGGACAAAUAGAGCCACUUUAUCGUGACGUUCGUCUGUCAGUUGCACUAUUUUCUAUGGUGCUCUGUGACGACCCAUUUGAGGUCAAGCUCCGUGAUAACUACGAACUGCGCGAAGAUUAAUUUCGUGAGAGUCUCAAACGUAAGCGUAUGUUGAACGCUAAAAGUGAAGAACUCCGAAGAACGCACCCACUUCUGACGCAAGGUAAAAUUGAUGAGCUUUAUACAAAUCUGGGAGGCCGAAAUGUUGAGAUAUUUGUUCAGCGAGCGCAACGCAUGUACGAGGCGAGGCCGAUGAGAACGGCUCUGUUCCGAUGGGAAAUGGAGCAAGUUGAUUUGAUGGCUUUAGCCGAUCCAUCUUUCCACGGUUACGCCAAUGUCGUCCGCAAUAUCCAGGAGAUGGAUCCUGACAGCCCGUGGCCUGAUGAAGAAAUAGAUUUUAUUACGCUGUGGUGUUGUGCAGUCCGCGCAACAUGUCAUCGAUGAAAUUUUACCAUGAUUUUUCUUGUGGCGCUGAGAGCUGGCGUCUGGCCUACGGUGCUUGUUGGGAGCCCGUGAUAGCCUAAUGCAAUCUAGCAUGGGAUUUCGUUUCACCUCCUUCAAAAGGAUCCUAGUCCAGCUUUGCCUUUUUGGGAUAAAAUUCGUCUACUCCUCCACGGUCCAGUUUACGUUGUCUGUUCAACAAUUAACUCUACUACUCCACACAUCACUUGAUCCUUAUAAUACCACUGAAGAGAUGGAGCUAACUUGGACCGAUUUGGCAAUGGAUUGGACUAAUGCAAAUUUUAUCCUUAAAGCAAAAGGCGAUUUCCACUUUCCGGAAUUCGAAUUUUCAGGCGAAUCGAACAUCGAAGAAAUAUUUUUUCACGAAAUAACAAAUUACGACUGCGAAAAUUACCCCAAUUUGAUGUUGCACGUUGGAAAGAAAAAUUGUCUGAAUGAGUAUAAUUGUCUGCAUGCGUCGGCUGUUGUGGAUCACUUGCAACUCACUUAAAAAAUUGUGAUUGGAAAUAUUUACACUUUCUUGCUUCAAUACCAGUUUUUGUCCAAAGGGGUUUGUUGGCAUCAUUCUGGAGUAAAAUCACUUUAACAGGAGAUGGUGUUCAAUUUCCUUUUUAUGCUUAAAAUGUCAUUUUUAUGUAGUUGAACUGCGUUUGAAAGGAAAAGAUAUUCUUGAACGAAUUGGUAUUCAUUUUCACUAAAUAGUCGUCAGAAACUGGAAAUAGUUGUAUUAUACAGGACGCAGCGCGUUUUCUGUUUCCCAAUAUAGAAAUUCCUCACUGUAAGCAAUUUGCAGUCAAUACUGGUCUCUAUUUCACAUGGGACAUGAAUAUAAAAUCAUAUUUGAAUGCGUUUCGAUUUUUCUCUACGGAUGUAGGGUACCUCGGGUAGAAAUUGGUGCCGCAUUCUCGCCCAAAUUAAGUCCUAUAAUACUAUUUUGUUCGAUUUUGUUUCAAUUAAA
rnacentral:lncRNA from 1 species